rnacentral:rRNA from 1 species
AUUGAACGCUGGCGGCAGGCCUAACACAUGCAAGUCGAACGAGUGGCGGACGGGUGAGUAAUGUCUUGGAAACUGCCUGAUGGAGGGGGAUAACUACUGGAACCGGUAGCUAAAACCGCAUACCAUCGGAUGUGCCCAGGUGGGAUUAGCUAGUAGGUGGGGUAAAGGCUCACCUAGGCGACGAUCCCUAGCUGGUCUGAGAGGCUGACCGGCCACACUGGAACUGAGACACGGUCCAGACUCCUACGGGAGGCAGCAGUAGGGAAUAUUGCGCAAUGGACGCAAGCCUGAUACAGCCAUGCCGCGUGAAUGAAGAAGGCCUUCGGGUUGUAAAGUACUGUCAGCAGGGAGGCGUUACCCGCAGAAGAAGCACCGGCUAACUACGUGCCAGCAGCCGCGGUAAUAC